UAUAGGAUCACCUAGUGUAUAGGGAAUUUUGUUUUGUGUAUGAUUUGUAACAUUUCCCUACAGCCAGCGUCUAUGUGGUGCGCAAGAUCCGCGCUGCCCUUACAGAGGGAGAGCAAGCAGAACAACCUGUGCUCACACCAUGUAGUCUGGCUAAAGGUAAAAAGGAGCGCUAUGCAUCAGACGCAGCAUUAAUGCCCGCUCCAGAGCCUGAGGGUGCUGCUGGGUCAUCUGCAUCUACAGAGACAGCUGUGCAGAAAUGUGGUUCCUGAGGUUAAAGGUCACGCAGAAUUAAAUCUGGGCACAAUGGAGGCUGAAAAAACAGCAUUGCUGGACACCAGCAUGUGUUGUGAUUUGGAUGCUGCUAGUGUUUCAACAAGGCCAUCUAAGCUGGUCUUUUAAGUAGAGGUUUUACAAGCGGAAGGCAAUUUGUAAUAAAGAUCUGACAUCAGUCCAGUUUUGCUCUGCGUGACCUUUUGUUCUUGGGUGCCAACACUGGCUCCUCCUCUCUCUUUCUUUGUCUCUUUCUCUUUUUCUGUUUCCCAUCAGCUGUAGUUUGUGAAGGUCUGUUCAUCAACCUCUGCCUCAGGGGCGGUUCAGAUCUGAUGUUUACCUGCAGCUUUUGUAUUUAUACUCACCAACUAACUGACUGUACACUGACUGAAGACAUAUUGCUGUCAGUAACAAUAACAGCUGAUGCUCUUUAUAAGAUUAUGUAAUUUUUUUAAUGAUAAAAACAACUAAUAAAAUGGUCCAGUCUUUGUUGUCUUGUUUUCUUCCUAAAAAACUCAACAUUAAAUUAGCAUUGUUUUGUAAUCUCUGGUAUAUUUAUACCAACCUGUCCACUCUAGGAAGAUAUUCUUUGAUUGGAUAAACACAUCUAUGCAUUAACUGCGUAGAAGAAGGAUCCGGGUACUGAAAUGGCCAGCCUGCAGUCCAGAUCUUUCACCCAAAGGAAACAUUUGGCGCAUCAUAAAGAAGAUGUGACAAAGAAGACCUAAGACAGUUGAGCAACUAGAAGCCUGUAUUAGACAAGAAUGGGACAACAUUCCUAUUCCUAAACUUGAGCAACUUGUCUCCUCAGUCCCCAGACGUUUGCCGACUGUUAUUAAAAAAAAGAGGGGAUGCCACACAGUGGUAAACAUGGCCUUGUCCCAACUUUUUUGAGAUGUGUUGAUGGCAUGAAAUUUUAAAUCAACUUACUUUUCCCUUAAAAUGAUACAUUUUCUCAGUUUAAACAUUUGAUAUGUCACCUAUGUUGUAUUCUGAAUUAAAUUUUGAAAUUUGAUACCUCCAC
rnacentral:lncRNA from 1 species